GAUGAAGAACGUAGCGAAAUGCGAUAAGUAAUGUGAAUUGCAGAAUUCAGUGAAUCAUCGAAUCUUUGAACGCACAUUGCGCCCGCCAGUAUUCUGGCGGGCAUGCCUGUUCGAGCGUCAUUUCAACCAUCAAGCCCCCGGCUUGUGUUGGGGACCUGCGGCUGCCGCAGGCCCUGAAAAGCAGUGGCGGGCUCGCUGUCACACCGAGCGUAGUAGCAUACAUCUCGCUCUGGGCGUGCUGUGGGUUCCGGCCGUUAAACCACCUUCAUAACCCAAGGUUGACCUCGGAUCAGGUAGGAAGACCCGCUGAACUUAAGCAUAUCAAUAAGCGGAGGA
rnacentral:misc_RNA from 1 species